GGAUCCUCGUAUGGCACAGACAAUGUUUCUGGCGUUGAAAGUCCAAGAGACAUAAAAGAAACUCAAGGUUCUAAAUCAGUGGAGAUUCUGAAAAGUAUCAUCUAUGGAGGUUUAAUGGAGUCCAUAACAAGCCUUAGUGUUGUGUCUUCUGCAGCUGCAUCUGAUGCUACUACAUGUAAGUUUCUGGGACUUGAUUGGUUUAUAUAUCUUCUCUCUUCAACUCUUGGUACAAAAAGAUAUCUUUGGAUAUAGUCCUUCUGGCUUAGAGUUUUCCUUGAAUUCUAUUGCAGUGAAUAUUAUAGCUAUUGGAUUGGCAAACCUAAUUGGUGGACUUUUCAUCAUUGUUCAUGAUGUAAGUAGUUUCAUCAUUAGUCACUAAUUUCAUACAUUGAUAAUUUCUCAGGUUUUUUUUUUUGCUUGCCUUGUGUAAUAAUUGGCAUGAGCAUCAACUACAUUUUCUUUUCAUAUUCUAAAACAAAAUCUGGAGCAUAUAAAAUGCGCUCAUGAUCUUCAUUUUCCCCCACCCUAAUCACAUUUUGGUAUUUUGCAGCUUAGAGACUUGAAAAAUGAUCAAUGUGAAGGGGCCGUUAACAAAUACCAAGAACAAUUGGGCAGGAGGGAGAAUUU
rnacentral:lncRNA from 1 species